CGCAUUCACCCGGGGGGUCCCGUCAAGGGGCUGAGAUUCUGAUAGCCGGUCCGGCAGGUCCGUGCAGCGCAGUGACCCGAUGAACCUGAUCCAGUUCAUACUGGCGUAGGGAUGGUGUACCCGCUGCGGC
rfam:Aurantimonas sp. TSBA 369 genome assembly, contig: Ga0111599_110